GAUUCUUACUAUGCUAAUUGAUUGCUCUACAUAAAGCUCGGUAGGAUCAAAGAGAUGAGUCAACCAUCAGUGGUGCUAGCAACGGCUAGCUAUGAUCACACUAUAAAAUUUUGGGAGGCUAAGAGUGCCCGCUGCUAUCGAACUAUUCAAUACCCGGAAUCACAAGUUAAUCGUCUUGAAAUUACUCCGGAUAAACGCUUCUUGGCUGCUGCUGGAAAUCCUCACAUUCGAUUAUUUGACAUCAACUCGAACAGUCCUCAGCCACUGAGGAGCUUUGAUUCACACACUAAUAAUGUGAUGGCAGUAGGAUUUCAGUGCGAUGGUAACUGGAUGUAUUCUGGAUCUGAAGAUGGCACUGUAAAGAUUUGGGAUUUGAGAGCACCAGG
rnacentral:misc_RNA from 1 species